UCCUGCAGGACAACGGCGGCACGGGACGGCGGAAGCGUGGGAGCAGGCAUAGGGCGGGGGAGGGAAGGGAGAAGGCGCGCGAUCGCGGGGGCGGGGCCGAGGGGAGGGGAAGCGGCGAGCGAGAGCUCCCGUCUCGUCUCAUCUCCCAGCCGCACACGACGAGGAGGGGAGCUCCGGGACUGUGGGGCUAAGGACGCCCCGCGCCCAGGGCGCCAGAACCUGACUAUAACGUCAAAACUAGAAACUGACCAACUCCAAGACCAAAGGGAGCUCUAUGACCACCCAACUCCAGCAUACUCGGACCACUUGCUUUUUUCAGAAAGACUCAUUCUUCUUUUUUAGGUCAUCUUAUGUUAACAAGUAACGAUACAGCUGCAUAUCACUGAACACAUGAUACAAGUACGGCUGCAGUUUACCAGACCAAAGCUAACUUGUAUUCAGUGAGUCUCUGAAAGAAGACAGAGGACUCCACAUUCCAUUUACACCUAGGUGUAGGACCCAUCCUGGAGUUAUUAGCAACAAAUUAUUCCAACACUGAUUGCAACCACGGGAAAUAAAGCUAAAACAGUCGCCAAAAGGGACAAAAAGCAUAACACUGCUGGUAGACGUGAGGUGCCUUGUACUAAGUGACUCUAACAGCUUUGUUUCACUCCUCUAAUGCUCAGCUAAGUUUACUGCGAUAAAAUGGAGUUCCCUGCAAUAUUGAUGGUGAGAUAAAACAUACUUGGUUAACGAGAAGCUGAACAGAUUCAAAGGCAUAAGAUUUUCCUUCUUCUCCAAGCUGUCGAGUGCUUACAUAUGGUAACAACUCGUCUCUCACCUUUGCCUUCAAAAAAAGAAUUCUUCCUUGAAAUACAAGUUCUGCUUACAUUUUGAUCAAAAUAUUUAGGGUUAUGGUACUCAUUACUACAAAAACCUUUUAUAAACUGUACUGUUAAACACCACAUAGCAUCACUUACUUAAAAAAAAAAAGCCCUUAAAACUGUAGUGUGCUCAGCCCAGAAAUUCAGUGUACCACAAUCGUGCUGUGAAAUAAAUUUAUUUAAAGUGUU